rnacentral:rRNA from 1 species
AUAGUUUGAUUCUGGCUCAGAUUGAACGCUGGCGGCAUGCUUUACACAUGCAAGUCGAACGGUAACGCGGGCUUCGGCCUGGCGACGAGUGGCGAACGGGUGAGUAAUACAUCGGAACGUAUCCUGGAGUGGGGGAUAACCUCGAGAAAUCGAGGCUAAUACCGCAUGAUCUCUAAGGAGCAAAGCGGGGGAACCGUAAGGUCCUCGCGCUGUUGGAGCGGCCGAUGCCGGAUUAGCUUGUUGGUGGGGUAAAGGCCUACCAAGGCGACGAUCCGUAGCUGGUCUGAGAGGAUGAUCAGCCACACUGGAACUGAGACACGGUCCAGACUCCUACGGGAGGCAGCAGUGGGGAAUUUUGGACAAUGGGGGCAACCCUGAUCCAGCCAUGCCGCGUGCGGGAAGAAGGCCUUCGGGUUGUAAACCGCUUUCAUACGGGACGAAAUGGUGCAGGUUAAUACCCUGUACUGAUGACGGUACCGUAAGAAGAAGCACCGGCUAACUACGUGCCAGCAGCCGCGGUAAUACGUAGGGUGCGAGCGUUAAUCGGAAUUACUGGGCGUAAAGCGUGCGCAGGCGGCUCUUUAAGACAGGUGUGAAAUCCCCGGGCUUAACCUGGGAAUUGCGCUUGUGACUGGGGAGCUCGAGUGCGGCAGAGGGGGAUGGAAUUCCUGGUGUAGCAGUGAAAUGCGUAGAUAUCAGGAGGAACACCGAUGGCGAAGGCAGUCCCCUGGGUCGGCACUGACGCUCAUGCACGAAAGCGUGGGGAGCAAAC